rnacentral:rRNA from 1 species
CUGCCCAGUGACUCUGUUUAACGGCCGCGGUAUCCUAACCGUGCGAAGGUAGCGUAAUCACUUGUCUUUUAAAUGAGGACUAGUAUGAACGGCAUCACGAGGGUUAUACUGUCUCCUUUCCACAAUCAGUGAAACUGAUCUCCCCGUGAAGAAGCGGGGAUAAGUUUAUAAGACGAGAAGACCCUAUGGAGCUUUAAACUAAAUUUCAUUUGCCCAGAACACAAAAAUUUCAGAAAAAUAAAAUACACUUAAGCACUUUGAUUUUAAGUUUUAGGUUGGGGUGACCGCGGAGCAAAACAUACCCUCCGCGCUGAAAAAGACUGUUUCCUUAGCUAAAAGCUACAACUUAAAGCAUCAAUAAAUUGACACUAUUGACCCAAUAUUUUGACCAACGAACCAAGUUACCCUAGGGAUAACAGCGCUAUCCACUUCAAGAGCUCAUAUCGACAAGUGGGUUUACGACCUCGAUGUUGGAUCAGGGUACCCCAGUGGUGCAGCCGCUACUAAA